UGAGUAACCUGCCCUUAACUCUGGGAUAAGCCUGGGAAACUGGGUCUAAUACCGGAUAUGACUCCUCAUCGCAUGGUGGGGAGUGGAAAGCUUUAUUGUGGUUUUGAUGGACUCGCGGCCUAUCAGCUUGUUGGUGAGGUAAUGGCUCACCAAGGCGACGACGGGUAGCCGGCCUGAGAGGGCGACCGGCCACACGUGGGACUGAGAUACGGCCCAGACUCCGUACGGGAGGCAG
rnacentral:rRNA from 1 species